UUUUUUGUUUCUUGAAUUAAAUAUGAACCGUCCGAUCAAACGAUCGGACAGUCUGAAUUAUAGUCAACAUAAUCAGCCCAUUUAAAGGCUUUUCCCACUCCUAAUAAACCAAAUCCGCGUAUUCCCUUCCCUAUACUGACCCGUCUUUACUCUCAUUUCUCAAAACAGUAACAUGAACAAUAUUAGGCCUUCUUCUCUCUUCUAUUUUUUCUCCUUUAUCUCCCCAAAAGUUGCAGCAAUGGCUAUCGGCCUACGAAACUGCUCCGAUCUUGUCAUCUCCAGGCCUAUAUCCGCAUAAUCAGGCACCAUUUCAGGUGCAAGACUUCAAUUUUUUUUCAAAUUCAUCAUCAAUACUCUGGAAAAGUGAGAGAUUCGGAUUUGAAAUUCAAAUCCAUCUCGAUUCUUGCAUUUCUUCUUCAAUUUUGAUUUCAAAUCCGGAUUUUUGAGUUCGGAUUUGGCCUAUAAAAGGGUAUUCAUCGACCCAGAAUGAGGAGAAGGAUUCAAGAUCUUAAAAAAAAAGGGGACGUGAACAGGUUCCAAAAUUAGGGGUGUCAAAUUUCCUAGUUCUUUCUUUUGAUUCUAUCCAAAUUUGAAGUUUCGGAGUGGGUUCAUAGUCGCCGGAAACUAUCCCGACGUCAACGUUCCGGUUUGCUGCACCAAACAAGGAGUUGGGAGUUCCGCAUCGGAACUCGUUUUUGACCCAAGUAUCGGGUCAACCGCUAUAGAAUUGUCAACAUUCGGCGUCUACAUCUCUACGGAUCGGUCCCUUCCUAAAAUAAUUGGGCAUAUCAAGUCCCUUUUCUUUACGAUUUCUUAUUAUUGUUAUUUGUUCUACUAAUCUUGUAUUUGUUUGAAUAUUUAUUUGGUGUGCAUUGAUUGAUGAUGAAUUUACUUCA